rnacentral:lncRNA from 1 species
AGCGAACACAACGUUAUUUCAAUAGAAAUAUUAAAAGGACAUAAAGACACCAAAUUCACAAAUUCAAAUUCAACUUCAACGAGAUCCAUAUUUCCACAUCCAAAACCCUCCACGAGCAGGCAUCAAUAAGCAAUCAUGAUUCUAUGAUCGAUUAAAAACAGAUCAAUCCAAAACACAACUCGAAUCCUCAAAAACCCUACAAACUCCACCAACAUCAAAUCAAAUAAAAUCCAAUACAUAUAUCUAUUUAUUAAUCUCUCUACCUGACUAAACUUGAGGGCAUGUUGUUCACCAGUGAGCUGAAGGUUACCAGAAACAAAGACAAGCAUACCACCGGCAGGGCCUGAUGGCUGGCAGUCGACGGUGGUGAUGCUGUGCUGGCACUGCUGGAAAGGAAGGCUAAUGAGCUUGGAGACGAUAUUUUGGGAGCCCUGGAUCUUCUGACCCUCGAAGGUGAGCAUGGAUCCCUCCUGAUAGAGGUUAGCUAAUCCGGCCCGGUUCGCAUCGAAAGUGGUAUAGUAGUGCUCAACAAAUGCCUUAGCCACGGAGUCUGGUUCCAUCUAGAAUUCGGAUUCUGAGAAUUUGAUUUUGCCCUUUUAAUCCCUCGUUUGGCUGCUCUCCCUUGGCUUCGCCGCUUGCAAGUUACGCUACCUUGGCGUAGAGAGA